AACCCUGGAGAUGGAAACGGCUGCCGCCGGUG
rnacentral:scRNA from 1 species